rnacentral:rRNA from 1 species
GGAUGUGAUCAUACCAGCACUAAAGCACCGGAUCCCAUCAGAACUCCGUAGUUAAGCGUGCUUGGGCGAGAGUAGCACUAGGAUGGGUGACCUCCUGGGAAGUCCUCGUGUUGCAUUCC